rnacentral:rRNA from 1 species
GAUGAACGCUAGCUACAGGCUUAACACAUGCAAGUCGAGGGGCAGCAUGAACUUAGCUUGCUAAGUUUGAUGGCGACCGGCGCACGGGUGAGUAACACGUAUCCAACCUGCCGAUGACUCGGGGAUAGCCUUUCGAAAGAAAGAUUAAUACCCGAUGGCAUAGUUCUUCCGCAUGGUAGAACUAUUAAAGAAUUUCGGUCAUCGAUGGGGAUGCGUUCCAUUAGGUUGUUGGCGGGGUAACGGCCCACCAAGCCUUCGAUGGAUAGGGGUUCUGAGAGGAAGGUCCCCCACAUUGGAACUGAGACACGGUCCAAACUCCUACGGGAGGCAGCAGUGAGGAAUAUUGGUCAAUGGACGAGAGUCUGAACCAGCCAAGUAGCGUGAAGGAUGACUGCCCUAUGGGUUGUAAACUUCUUUUAUACGGGAAUAAAGUGAGGCACGUGUGCCUUUUUGUAUGUACCGUAUGAAUAAGGAGCGGCUAACUCCGUG